CUAGUACUCCCUUCGUCCCAAAAUUCUUGUCUUAUAUUAGUCUAGAUACGGAUGUAUCUAAUACUAAAACAUGACUUGAUACAUCCGUAUUUAGACAAAUUUAAGAUAAAAAUUUUGGGAUGGAGGGAGUACUAU
rnacentral:pre_miRNA from 1 species